GAGGCCUACAAUGUGGUUCCGUCCUCAUACUUCAUUCAGAAAUGACACUGAUGAAAAGAAGGAAGGGCUGAGGUGACACAAGCCUCAAUACUGUACACUUGGCUCUGUGGAUGUUUUCUGGUUUAAGUUUCGCAUGUUUUAGACCCCAUUUCUCUCCUUUCCAUUAACUGCUAACCCCCUGGACCUUUAUCAUGCCUAUCUCAUCUUAAAAGGAUUCCUUAGUUUCUUACUCAAUAUAAUUUUUUAUAUGUGGUUGAAAUACAAACAUACUAAACCCUUGUUAAACUGGUACUGAUUUAUUCUAGACAAUAGCUCUAUUGCUCCUAAAAAGAGAAAGCUACUUUUCCCAGCAUGUUAGGUGCUCACUUGCUCUUAAAACAUUGGCUAUCCUCUUUCUUGAAGUAGAAAUCUCUUCAUUUCUAGACCCCCCGGUGUUUUAGAAGUGGAAAAAAAAAAAAAAAGGUUUCCUAUAAUCAAGGCUUACAACUACAGCAUAGUGAAAAAUAAAAUGUAUUCCAAUGACCACAUAAAAUAUUCACUGAGAGUUCAAAAUGAGAAGAGAUGUGUGUGUGUGAAAUUUUGAUAUUAUAUAAUUGUGUAUAAAGUUACAUUAGUUUUAUAUAAAAACUCAUUUUAGGAAAAACAUGGUCAAAGAGUAAAAUCAAUACUAACAAUAAAUCUAGAAUCAUAUUACUGAA
rnacentral:lncRNA from 1 species